UACGAAGGGGGCUAGCGUUGUUCGGAAUUACUGGGCGUAAAGCGCGCGCAGGCGGCUAUCCAAGUCAGUUGGUGAAAGCCCGGAGCUCAACUCCGGAACUGCCAUUGAAACUGUUUACGCUUGAGGACGAGAGAGUGAGUGGAAUUCCCACGUGUAGAGGUGAAAUUCGUAGAUAUUGGGAAGAACACCGGUGGCGAAGGCGGCUCACUGGCUCGUAUCUGACGCUCAGGCGCGAUAAGCCGUGGG
rnacentral:rRNA from 1 species